AUUUGGGGUCACCCCUAUUUGGGGUCGUUGUGAUUUGGGGCCAUCAGUGUGAUUUGGGGACAUCUCUAUGUGGCGACAUCCGCAUUUGGGGUCGUUGUGAUUUGGGGCCAUCAUUGGGAUUUGGGGCCAUCAUUGGGAUUUGGAGUCAUCUCUAUUUGGGGACAUUGAUUUGGGGUCAUCCCCUUUUGGGGUCGUUGUGAUUUGGGGUCAUCAUUGUGAUUUGGGGACAUAGAUUUGGGGUCAUCUCUAUUUGGGGUCACCCCUAUUUGGGGUCGUUGUGAUUUGGGGCCAUCAUUGUGAUUUGGGGACAUCUCUAUGUGGCGACAUCCGCAUUUGGGGUUGUUGGGAUUUGGGGUCAUCAGUGGGAUUUGGGGUCGUCUCUCUUUGGGGCCAUCAUUGGGAUUUGGGGCCAUCAUUGGGAUUUGGGGUCAUCUCUAUUUGGGGACAUUGAUUUGGGGUCAUCUCUAUUUGGGGUCAUUGUGAUUUGGGGUCAUUGUGAUUUGGGGUCAUCUCUAUUUGGGGUCAUCUCUAUUUGGGGUCGUUGUGAUUUGGGGUCAUCUCUAUUUGGGGUCAUUGUGAUUUGGGGUCAUCAUCUCUGUUUGGGGUCAUCU
rnacentral:lncRNA from 7 species